CCUACGGGGGGCUGCAGUGGGGAAUAUUGCACAAUGGGCGCAAGCCUGAUGCAGCCAUGCCGCGUGUGUGAAGAGGGCCUUCGGGUUGUAAAGCACUUUCAGCGGGGAGGAAGGCGUUAAGGUUAAUAACCUUGGCGAUUGACGUUACCCGCAGAAGAAGCACCGGCUAACUCCGUGCCAGCAGCCGCGGUAAUACGGAGGGUGCAAGCGUUAAUCGGAAUUACUGGGCGUAAAGCGCACGCAGGCGGUCUGUCAAGUCGGAUGGGAAAUCCCCGGGCUCAACCUGGGAACUGCAUUCGAAACUGGCAGGCUAGAGUCUUGUAGAGGGGGGUAGAAUUCCAGGUGUAGCGGUGAAAUGCGUAGAGAUCUGGAGGAAUACCGGUGGCGAAGGCGGCCCCCUGGACAAAGACUGACGCUCAGGUGCGGAAGCGUGGGGAGCAAACAGGAUUAGAUACCCGUGUAGUC
rnacentral:rRNA from 1 species